AUGUUGCAGCAGCACAUAUACUAAAAUUGGAGCGAUUCAGAGAAGGUUAGCAUGGCUCACUGCGCAAGGAUGACGAGGAAAUUCAUGCCUGGUCUACAUGGGG
rnacentral:snRNA from 1 species